ACAUAUAUAUACACACACACGGACACAUAUAUACACACACACACACAUAUAUAUACACACGUUCGUGUGUGUGUGUAUAUAUAU